GUUAAUACAAUAGGGAGAUAGAAGGUCAAGAGGUUGUCCUAGACUGCUAGGUACAAUCAUUAUAGAUAACCCAAUACACUACUACCUACUUUAGUCCUUCUAACUACCCUAACAUAGAUAGACUUAGUAAUUAUUCUACCAUUAAGAUACACACAACUCACACACACUAACCAAUAAUUCUAACACUCCCCCUCAAGCUGGAGCAUACAAAUUGUAUGAACCAAGCUUGAAAUAGAUAAACUCGAUUUUGAACUACAUGAAUUUUUCUUCAAGAGUGUGAGGCAGUGUGUUAUCACAUGUCAACGAAAAACUACCAACAACUUGUGAAACUUCAACUUCAAAAGUGGAUGACAAAGAGCAGUGGUGGACAAUGAAAAUCUGCAAGGACGAAAUCCCUCAUCAACUAAGGAUGGGGCCUACAGUGGCUAAAUGCGACAAAACUACAGGGACUGUCAUCUCUGAGACUGAUGGGUGAUGGGGCCUGUAGUGGCUGAAAGCUACAAAUCUAUAGGGACUACCAUACUUAUGUGGCUUGAACUGCCGUACUUGACUUGCAGUGUGCCAUCUCUGAGAUUGAUGGGGGAUGGGGCCUAUAGUGGCUGAAAGCUACAAAUCUACAAGGACUACCAUACUUGACUUGCAGUGUCUUGGAAACAAACAUUAAUGUGGCUUGAACUGCCAUACUUGACUUACAGUGUCUUGGAAACAUACUCCCCCUCACUGUGAACGUUGGAAACAGUGAAAUUGUGGACUGGCAUUGGAAGCAUCACAAUUUCUUUGGAUAAACACACAUAAAUGAAGUCGACAGAAGAAAUUGACGUCUGAUGGGGAGCUUGCUGUUUUUUUUUUUAUUUCAUCCUCUGUAAGACUUCUCUCAUCCCAUCUUCACUUUCAUUCACCAAGAGAUCAUGAGUCUUCAAUUCCAUAAUCUCCAUUCCUUUAAGCCUCACGUGGAGCAUUUAGAGAAACAUUUACCUACCAAUUUCCUUCAUCACCCUGCAUUCUCAAAUAACAACUAACUAGAAAAAUACCCAAAAUCCAAAAAUACAAAUUUGUUAUCACAGUGGGUUGCUUCCUUCACAGCACCAAGCCUAGGUGCAAGGCUCACCAUCACCCUUGAAAU
rnacentral:lncRNA from 1 species